GACGAACGCUGGCGGCGUGCCUAAUACAUGCAAGUUGAGCGCUGAAGGUUGGUACUUGUACCAACUGGAUGAGCAGCGAACGGGUGAGUAACGCGUGGGGAAUCUGCCUUUGAGCGGGGGACAACAUUUGGAAACGAAUGCUAAUACCGCAUAAAAACUUUAAACACAAGUUUUAAGUUUGAAAGAUGCAAUUGCAUCACUCAAAGAUGAUCCCGCGUUGUAUUAGCUAGUUGGUGAGGUAAAGGCUCACCAAGGCGAUGAUACAUAGCCGACCUGAGAGGGUGAUCGGCCACAUUGGGACUGAGACACGGCCCAAACUCCUACGGGAGGCAGCAGUAGGGAAUCUUCGGCAAUGGACGAAAGUCUGACCGAGCAACGCCGCGUGAGUGAAGAAGGUUUUCGGAUCGUAAAACUCUGUUGGUAGAGAAGAACGUUGGUGAGAGUGGAAAGCUCAUCAAGUGACGUAACUACCC
rnacentral:rRNA from 1 species